UACAGAGGUCUCAAGCGUUGUUCGGAUUCAUUGGGCGUAAAGGGCGCGUAGGCGGGCUGACAAGUCUGGGGUGAAAUCCCACGGCUCAACCGUGGAACUGCCUUAGAUACUGUCGGCCUCGAGGAAGGUAGGGGCAUGCGGAACUGUAGGUGGAGCGGUGAAAUGCGUUGAUAUCUACAGGAACUCCGGUGGCGAAAGCGGCGUGCUGGACCUUUUCUGACGCUGAGGCGCGAAAGCUAGGGGAGCAAACGGG
rnacentral:rRNA from 1 species